ACAAUUUAUGUUAUUUAAUAUUGUUGGUUAUUGAAGUUAACUUUUUUAUGGAAUUAAAGUAUUUAUUUUUAGGUGAAAUUUGAAUUUUAAUUAAUUUUUGGUUGGAUCCUUCUAAAGUUAAGAUUUAAACUAGGAUUAGAUACCCUAUUAUUUUAACUAUUAAUGUGAUAUCCUGGGUAGUAUUUGUUAUUUUCUUGAAACCCAAAGAAUUUGGCGGUGUUUUAGUCUAGUUAGAGGAACUUGUCCCGUAAUCGAUAAUCCUCGUUAUAUCUUACUUGUUAUUGUUUUCAGUUUGUAUAUCUCCGUUAUAAGUUUAUAUUAUUAGGUUUUUAUUUACCCAUUAAUUAGUUAGUUAGUAUUUCA
rnacentral:rRNA from 1 species